rnacentral:rRNA from 1 species
UACGUAGGUGGCAAGCGUUGUCCGGAUUUACUGGGCGUAAAGGAUGCGUAGGCGGACAUUUAAGUCAGAUGUGAAAUACCCGAGCUUAACUUGGGUGCUGCAUUUGAAACUGGGUGUCUAGAGUGCAGGAGAGGUAAGUGGAAUUCCUAGUAUAGCGGUGAAAUGCGUAGAGAUUAGGAAGAACACCAGUGGCGAAGGCGACUUACUGGACUGUAACUGACGCUGAGGCAUGAAAGCGUGGGGAGCAAACAGG